GGGGUCGUGGCCUAGUCCGGAAUGGCGACGGGCUCCAGCGGUCUUUCGCGUCGUGUGAAUGAUGAACAAUGGGUCUCCUGAUUGGUGAUGAUCCGUUGGAGCACUGACGCAUGUCGGAGAGACCCGUCGAUCGUGAGUUCAAAUCUCACCGACCCCA
rnacentral:tRNA from 1 species